rnacentral:rRNA from 1 species
UACGAAGGGGGCUAGCGUUGUUCGGAAUUACUGGGCGUAAAGCGUGCGCAGGCGGCUUCUCAAGUCAGGGGUGAAAGCCCAGAGCUCAACUCUGGAAUUGCCUUUGAGACUGAGUGGCUUGAGUCCGGAAGAGGUGAGUGGAACUCCUAGUGUAGAGGUGGAAUUCGUAGAUAUUAGGAAGAACACCAGUGGCGAAGGCGGCUCACUGGUCCGGUACUGACGCUGAGGUGCGAAAGCGUGGGGAGCAAACAGG